rnacentral:lncRNA from 9 species
GAAAGAGCCGUGUUUUGGGACCGGUAACUACAACAUAUGGCUUCUCUACUUUUCUUCUUCGGCAUUUCAUUCUGCAAUGAUAACUGAGAAGUGUAUUUGGUAAUAACAGCUGCUAUAGGAAGAAGUGGAGGAAUUCAGAUGAGGAGAAAAUGGCUGGAAUGCAAAGUAAUUGGAAAUUUGUGAAUAAGGGAUAAUUUUUAAUAUCUGGGAUUCUAAAUAAUAUGAAGAAAGAGACAUGGCAUUAAAAUGCACUGAAAGACAAGCCUUGAAUAUUUCAGAAGAUUUCAGGAGAAACCAGAAGAGGAGAGUCAGAUCUACAUAUGAAGCCUGAAUUGCUUUGGUGGUAUCUUAUCCAAAUAGAAAACACUUUGAUUCCGAGUUUCUCUGAAGUGAGGAAGACAUGGACUUAGAAUGAAUUUUCUAUACUCAAUUUUGAGGAUAAUGGAAUAGAAAAAUAUCGAGAAUCAUAGUGAACUAUGGA